GGGGGGGUUCGGGGGAGAUCGGCACCGCUGGGGGUGCCCCGACGGGUGUGGGAAGGGUGAAAUUCGCUUAAAAUCCUAAUUUAGCCGGCGCUGAGAUCGCGCCUAAUGAGCUUUGGAGAAGGAAUUGCCCGAAAUUAAGCAAACAAACAAACAAACAGCAUCCAUCCCUCGUACCGCGGGAGGAAAGGGCUAAUAAAAGUUGAUCUUCGCCUUCUGCAUGCGGGGGGAUUUUUAGGGAAAGCGGGUCCUUUUGAAGAGAGAAGCCCUCGGGAUUCACGGGGUCCGGCACCGCGGGGUUUAUAGGGGAACCUGCGGGGAUGCAAAACCCCCCUCGUCGGGGACAAACACCAGAAGCACACGGAGAGGCGGAAAAAUACGGCCGGUGGUGCAGGAGAAUGUACAGAGUCUUUGUCGGUCCCUUUGGAGAUCUCCGCAGCGUGUUGGAGAAGGGUCGCGCUGGAAAAUGCUCAUUUGCAGUUUGACCGGACAGCGGGCAUCCAAAGCAAGAAGUUUGUCGGCAACUCAGAGCUAGAAAGGGCAUCUGAAGGACAAGAAGCAGUGUUUUUCAGUUCACUUAAAAAGCCUGCGAUCGGUGAAGGAGGGAGAGGAGCCGGAGCAGUAUCGCUGUAUCACUCGAAAUUGGGGUUUUUGCUUCAGGGAUUUGAUGGAUUUGGGCAAAGGCAGAGCCAUCUAGAGGAGCAGCCUGGCUAUUGCGAGGCGGGGAGGCAGUUUCCCUCAGAGGCAUGGUAUGCUGCCUUCGAGUUUUCUUUAGUUGAUUCCUCUGCUUCCAACAAAGGAAAUGGGUGA
rnacentral:lncRNA from 1 species